ensembl:lncRNA
AUUCAUGGAUAAACAGUGGGGCAUUCUCUGUGGCAGCUCAGAGACCCUGCUGUGCAGACAUGAAGGCAGCAGAGCUUCAGCCUGAGGCUGCUGCCUGCUCAAAGCAGAUGGUUUAUAUUAAAGUAAAAUGAAAUUGCAAACUGGUGCCAUUAACAAGUACAUUUUAAGCAUCACUGAUUCCAUCAUAUUCUUAAAAUUGAAAUAACUAAGUGUGUGCAUUGAUAUGCAGCACAUCUGGUCCUUGGCAGAAGGGGAGGGGUCAGGCCCACUGGGAGAUGCAUUAAACAUUAUUUACAGGGAUGCCAACAGAAAGAGGUGGCCGGAAAGCAGCCCAACUCCUCAUUUGUUUGCAGAUACCAUGUCCCUGGUGGCUUUGCAUUCUCUGUCUGGAUUGACCCCCUUUUUAAAAUGGAAAUGCCAGGAAGCUGGUCCCUUGUGCCAGCCACGUUCUGGGGACUGUGCUGCUGAGACAGACCAGCAGCUGCUGCUGCUUGGCUCACUGUAUCCCUGGUUUCAUCCCUGCCAGUCUCUUACAUCUUCACAUCGUGCCAUUCCUGUGAAAUAGGAUCAAACAUUUGUUCCUAAAUCAGGUUCCCCAAGGCGUCAGCUGGAGAGAAGGGAUUGAGGACAGGGGUCUCCUUGGGCUUUGUUGAUGCCAGGAGAAAUCUAGGGCAGUCCUGCUGAAGAUCAUGAGGGGGGUGAAAGCAUGAGCAAACAGGACCUGGUUUCUUCUUUACCAUCCCAUGGCGCAGCCAAGUUACCUUUUUCUGCAAGACUAACUGUUCCUUGGCCCCUGUCUCUGCUCUGCCCAGCUCCUACAGGAUGAACCUUAAUGAAUAAAUGGUUUGGGGAAGGAUUUUUAACUAUCCUAAAUCCAUGCUUCUUUGAGAGCUGCUGUGCAAGGCUCAGCCACAUCGAUCUGCAAGCCCUGCUCUCCCUGAUGCCUGUUCUCCAGAUUUAAUUACUAGUGGUGCCCUGAGCACUUGUAAGUGGCAGCAAGCACAGAGGGCAGCGUACGGAUGACAUACAGUGCUCUACAUGGGUGUUGUGGGGGCAGAGCGUGGGAGCCCUGGUGCUGCUGCCAAGGAUGCUCUGACUGGCGGUUUGACCCAUAUUCACCUACUGCUUCAACCUUUUUGGAGUGAUUAAAGCUGAUGGUUAUUUCCAGGUCAACAGACAAGAGAGGAAGGUGCUGAGUUAAGCCUUUCAGCGUGUCCCUCCUGUGAGCAUGGAGAAGCACUGAAAGAUCUUUAAGGUGGCUCUGCGAGCACGCUGGCAAAGCAGUGUCUGGAGUGAUUCAGGAAGGAAAAGACUGAGGUAAGUAUAGCAGAUGAUUUGCAAAGGCAUACUGAGGAGAUGGUGUCUCUCCAGCAGGAAGCUGAGGCAGAGUUAGUACGAGGGACUUAUUCCAGGUUGUAGUAGAAGAGACAGGAGAUGAUCCCAGAUGAUGCCUUCCAGUGCAAGGAACCACUGGACAUUGAUAAGCUGAGAAUCUGAUGGUCACAACACUUGGCUUUUAGAUCUAGAAUUACAGAAUAUCCUGCAGAGUGCUGCAGAGUGAGAGAGACACAGAAGUGGAGCCCAGCCAUCCCCAGCAUACUUGCAAC